UUUCCAUCAUUAUCUUCUAUGGAGUUCUUCAUUCCCGUAUCUGUGGCCCUUAAAAUCCUACGAUUGAGUGCCUGUCUUGGAUCGGCCAUCAGUUCGUUACCUUGGUUCUCAGACGAUGCUUGCAACAACGCAAUGGGAUUCACCCACUCUUGGAGAAAAUAAGAGAAGUAUCCCUGAAGGAUGAAAUAUCCUCAAAUAUGAAAAUGUCUGCUCUCUGAAGGCCAACUGUCUUAGUCUGUUUUUUGCUGCUGUAACAGAAUAC
rnacentral:lncRNA from 1 species